rnacentral:rRNA from 1 species
CACGUAGGCACCAAGCGUUGUCCGGAUUUAUUGGGCGUAAAGAGCUCGUAGGCGGUUCGGUAAGUCAGGUGUGAAAACUUUGGGCUUAACCCAAAGCCUGCAUCUGAUACUGCUGUGACUAGAGUUCGGUAGGGGAGUGGGGAAUUCCUAGUGUAGCGGUGAAAUGCGCAGAUAUUAGGAGGAACACCGGUGGCGAAGGCGCCACUCUGGGCCGAAACUGACGCUGAGGAGCGAAAGCGUGGGUAGCAAACAGG